GUAGAGAAUUGAAGGGCCCUUAUUCUAUCAGAAUGUGUUGCUGGGGAGUAGGGGUGAGACCUAGAAGAUAUGCCCUGGGGAUCAAAAUAGCAGGAAGCCUACCCUGGUAUAAAACCAUUCUUCUGAAUGGUCUGUCUUCAUUUCUUUUACGUGCUUUUUAUGAAUGCAGACUCUUGAUGGGUCAAGUCUUUUGACGUCUCCAGCUGUAUGCUUUUGAGCCUGGCCAGACUUGUAAGACACCAUCAACGUAACCAACUUUUAGUGUUUUACUCACUUGUGAUUUUGAAUCUGGUUAAUGAUGCCAAAAGGGGUUCAAGAAUCCGGGCUCCUGCAGGAGGGAUGCUGUUGAAGAACAUUGCGUUUUUGCAGUGGUUUAAAGCAGGCUGUCACACUUUCAUAUAGGGAUUGGGUGUACUCCAGUGUUACAGCACUUGAAAUAAAGUUAAAUAUAGGCUCAACGAUGGCCCAGCCUGUGUCAGCUCUGUUUUACCUCCAGAAAAUUGCAACUGACAAUUAUCAAAGUAUUAUCAGCACUGAUGAAUGGCUGGAAAACUGUAGUACCAAUGGUAACUCAGGCUUUGCAAUUUUUGUCUUCAAAUAACAUAACUUGCAUGAAAAAUUGAGUUUAAAAUUAAAUUGCAUAGGAAGGAAACUAUAGCUAAGCUUUUUCUUAGGAACAAGUGUAAAAUAUAAGCCUUGGACUAAAAGGAUAUGACGAGUAUUCGAGUGGCUUUGUUUUGCAGUGGAAAAAACCUCUACCUUCUUUGGAAGGGGCACAGGGAAAAUGAGCUGCAUCAGGUUUCACUUAAUGUACAGAAAAGUCAGCACUUCUGUGCUGUGUUUUCCUUUGCUUCUAUUACAUUAGAACUAGAAAAGUUAGUUUAUCUAAGCUAAUAAGCACGUUGAAUUCAGUUGCUUCCAGUAAACUUGUGCAUCAGGAAGGGUAACUCGUAGCAUUUUGUGGCAGCACUGGUGGUGAGUUAAUUGCUUAAAGUAGAAUUUCCUCUUCCUAAUGUCCCAACAAGAGUGACGCUGUGAUGGGUGGCUGUUAGUGAGGCAGCAGGGUGGAGAAACCAGUGGGACAAUCACUUGGGAAAUGGUGGCAAGAGAAGCAAAGCCAUUGCAGAGCAGGAGCGCAUAGAAGGAGCCUGCGUGGACACUGAGCUGAAUGGAUGCAGCCUAGCUCAGCCCUUCGUGGAGAAACAGAAGAAUUUGGAACUCUUAAACUGGGAUAAGCCCAAGAAUCUUAAUUUGGAACUCAAGUCAGAAGGAAUAGAAAAUGUGAAUGUGUGCACAGCUCCAGUAUUUUUUGAUACAAUUGUCAUUAACAGGGUAUUAGGAAGGGAAGGGGGCUGAAGGCACGCUAGUGGUUGUGGAGGCAAUACACAUAGGUUCACAUGGUUGGCUAAAAGCAUCCUUAAGGCUCAGCUUCUCCCACGUGCAUGAAGCCAGCUGCCCUGCAGGGGUGACAGCACUUGUGCUUGGGAGCUGCUGCCGAGCAGUGUUCUCCAAGGGUGGGCAUGGGGCUUUAGCUCUGCUGUGUUACACACCUGCUGCAAAAGCUGUCCUGGUGGUUGGACUGAAGAAAAUCAGAAAGGGAUGUGGAAGCUGGUAACUGAUGUGCCCUUACGAGGAGGUUAUAUUUACCAUUCAGUAGCUCUGGGAAAGGUUUUACACUGCUCCCCUAUCUCUGCUCAGUAGCACUGGUGAUCUGAAGGUCUGUCUGUGUGCCUAGUUCUGAUUCCUUACCACAGUGGCUUGUUUUCACAACAGCUGCCAUUUGAGCAGCAUUUGCAAAUCCUCUCAUUCAUGUUUGUGUAACUGAAAUAUGCUGCUUCUUAGGGAGGCAGCAGUCAGCAGCCCAUGGAGUUGCUGUGCGAGUCACGCUGCUUCUUGGCUGUAGCAUCUGCUGGGGCUGCACUGUGCAAUUACAACUGCAUCAGAGUGGGAUUGUGCCGAAGGAGGAGGCUCUUCUGGUGCUGGGAGUCCCUGUUCUGAGCUAGCAGCUCCUUGCCCAGCCUGCUGUGACUGCCCACUGCUUCCCUUCCCUGCUCUGCCUCCCAUUGCUCGGUACCAAUGGUGGUGGUGUUUCUGCUUGGUCUAUUCUGGGCUUCUAGAAGAGCUGCCAUCUGUCCCUGUCCCAUUUUAAAUAUUAACUUCACGAGGCUCUUGAACCUACUUUGAUUGCAGAGUGCUUUGAUUUGGAUGGGAGUUGUCAGGAGACCAGAGGGUGGCUGCUGUGCUCAGGAACCUGUAAUGCACUGUGUCUCCUUCAUGUUUGAAGCACUGAUGCUGCAUACAGCAGCCCUGCAUGUUAACAUCUGUUCAGACGAGAAUCUGUAUCAGCCAAAAAGCUGUUCUGCAUUCUUGCUUCGUAACCCCACAACCUUGUGCAGUGGUGCCAACAGCUCACUGACUGCAUCGUGCAAGCACAGGUGUUAACGCAGCUGCAGUGCUGGGACAGAUGGGGUAUGGUUGGUAGGAGCUCUCUGUGAGGCUUCAGUCAAAUUGCAUGUGUUGCUACUGUAGUGGAAGCUGCGUGGCUGCUCUGUGCUGUGCAUGUAGGCACUUGCCUUGUAGAAUCAUUAAAAUCAUUAAGGUUGGAAAAGACGUACUAAGAUCACCAAGUUCAACUACUGACCCACGCCCACAGCGCCACAUCUCCAUGGUUUUGGAACACCUCCAAGGACGGUGACUCCCCCACCUCCCUGGGCAGCCUGUUCCAAACAGCAAAAUGUGGCUUUGUUCUGUUUUCAGUUGCUCCUUUCUAUGAGCACGCUUUGAGUGACGUAGGCAGGCCGAAUCUGAGUGUGAAGCUAGCCCAGUGACUCGAGAUAAUGUGUUGUGGAGGUGUGACAGCAGCAAGCACUGGUGGCAGGAGGAAAACUGGUGGAGUUCAGCUUCAAGGAGCCAAGAAGUGCAAGAGUCAGCCAGCACAGCUGGGUGGAGGACUGCACAGCUGGAUGGAGAGGAGUCAGCUCUACUGCAGCUUUCAGGAUGGGCAGUCUGAGGCGUGAUCAGCACAGCACUGCAGUGCUGCCCAUUUCCCCAAUAAUCGUGGUGAGGAAAGAGACGACUUCCUCUGACCAUUAGCAGCUGGGGAAACUGCCUUCACCUGCAUACAGCACACACAUUACCGUUGCAUAAUGCAGACACUGAGAAAGGUUCCUCAGCUUGCAGUGUGUUGGCAUUUCAUAAACCCUGGGAAGAGCAGCAGUUCUCAUCUCGUAGGAACUGAAUGUGCUUCCUGACUAAGGACUGAACAGACUGGUAGCUGCGGCAAACGUGCAAGUACUAUGGGGAGCUUCAGCUAAAUUCUCACUAUUUAGGUUUAGCAUGUUCUUCAGUUAGCCUGUGUGUAUCUUAGCCCCAAAGAGGUUUUUGUAAAUCCAGAUCAUUUACCUCUUGGUAUUUGUAUCCGGGAAAUCGAUCUCGCUAAACUGCUUGGAAACUGGGGAAAAUAACCUGUGUGGAGUUCAAAGUUAGCUUUAAUGUUAAUUGCAUUUGUGUCUCAUGUUAACCACAAAUUACAGAUGCCUGCAAGUCUCUUUGAAAUGAUGUGUAGUAGUAGAGCCUUUUUACUCUUUGUUUCUAAGCAGCAGUAAAGGAAACAACCAAGGCACACUAUAAGAAUCUUCUACAAUUUGAAAUGUUAAAGUCAGUUUGUAAGUUUCAGUCCCUACAGUACUUUGUUAAAAGCACAACAACCUGAUGCAGCCUUCUACUUUAAAGCCUGUAACUAACAUUCUUUUUCUUAACCCUUCAGCUAGCAGUGGCAGAGAUGAGCGACUUCUUACUUUGUUCAUCAUUCUGAAAUGUGCAUCUGCUGUUUUUUAUUCUAGCUUUUACAAAACUGAUCACAGUAAAUGGCCAAGAAUAUCACCUUCAGCUGGUUGACACUGCUGGCCAGGUAAGUGCCUUUCUCCCUUUGCAUCUUUGGAGUUAAUGCAACAGGUAUUGGUGCUUGGGAAGAGCUACCCUGGUUGUGUCCAUGUGUUCAAAGCUGAAGCUCAACUUAAAUGAUUCCACUUUAUUUUGUUCUCUGAAAGUAAUGCUUGUAUAGUGUUUAUGCACUUUUUCUAUUGAAAUUGAAACAGUAGCUAGUGCUUAAAGUACAUAUGCCUAAAAAAGCCAAGAAAGAGCUGCCUGAACUCCAGUGUACCAAAGCUCUUAAGUAAUCCGCUUGAUACUUAUGGUCCGGUAGUCUUCUUUAAUUGGAAAAUGCCAAUUCAGUAAACCACACAGAAGUUUUUCUUGACUUUCUUCAGUCUGUGUGCUCCAGCACCUUGGUUUGUAUCCAUUAAAUAGUCAGAAUAGAAAGCAACAUGCAUAGGUAGCGCUCAUGAGGCUGCAAAGAAACUCCUGCAGUUUGUUUAUGUAACUAAGUAAGUGAAGGUUCAUGCAUGCAUACUUCUGAGCUUGGUGUAAUGAGGGGGAAUGCAGAAGGAGAUGGUAAACAAAUGUCUGUGGCGUGGUCAGUAGCGUCAUGAAAUAGAGGUGCUAAUUACACAGGGAUGCUUGGCAAAGCCUGGAGGUGAGUGUGUGCUCUGUGCUUUGAAGGGCUGUGCUUAAAAAAGGGACUGCUAAAUCCCUUACCAUCUUCCUGUUUGCAUGCUCUUACUUUCUGUGAGUUCUGGUAUUGUGCCUUUGGGUUUUCCCAAACUGUUAGCAUUAAGCAGCCAGUAAAGUACACGGGCAGUGCUUUAGACAUGAAAGCUGCAGGACAUUUGCUCAUAGCUGGGAGAGUAUUCAGGGCUGUGACCUUCUAGGACUAUUUGAUCACCUUCAAAGAGAGCUACAUGAUGUAAGAAUAACUGUGUGCUGUAAUUAUAUGCUGUCAGCUUGUGGUGGUAAUCAGCAGCACUAGAUCUACAGGUAAUCAGUCGGAGGGUUUAGUAACAGCAUUGACCACACAUACUGGGGUCAUAAACACGUUGUUUGGGAAAUUUAAACUAAAUAGAAUUGCACAGCUAGUAUUUUUCCCAGUCUGUGGUUAUUUCCAGCCUCGAUUCUUCCUGUGAAUGAGUUGAACUUUGAGUUGUGGCUCACAGGGCUAGAGGGAGAGAUAAUGCUGGGUUAUGGAAGGUGUGGUUUGAACAAAUUUCUCACAGUUCAGUCUUGCUUAAUGAUCCAUAGAGCAUCCUUACGUAUGCAGUAUAGCAAAGAUUAUAUUGCAGAUUUAUGUCAUAUACUUGAAAACUUGGCUAUAGCUUGAAAAGUUACAGCUCUGCUCGUUUUGUCACUUGGCAAAGUUCUUAAUUUGAUCCCCAACUUCCAGGAAGAGUUGUGGUCUUUUAUUUUUUUCCUUUCCUGACAAGCUAAAGAAAUAGUUUUCUUGGUACCUAUUUUCUGUCUCGUGCCUCUUUACCUCUCACAGUUACGUGUUCAGGUUUACAUAGCUGUGUUGAGCAGGAGGCUCACUAUGGGACCUCAGAACAGGAUGUAGCAACAAAUCUUUUCUGAACCUGAAUUCGAACUGUGGCAAUCCUGAGUAAUUGCAGAUAAAGGCAAAGAACUGUGGGGCUGCACUUUCACCUGUUUUACUUGCAGGCCAGCUCACAUCUCUCUGUGUUGACACUGGGAUUACACAGCCCGCGGAGAGGGCAGCGUGGCAUUUAAGCGGAGGUGGGGGAGGGCUGCCCUCAGUGUGUAGCAUUAAAGGCAAAUAAGGGCAUCAUGUGCAAGUGUUGUUCCUUCAAACUUUUUUGGCAGAAUCUGGGAAGUUGAUUUAUAAAAGGUUGUGGGGUUUUUUUUGGCAUUUGCCUAUUAAGGAAGUUUGCUUUCUGUUAGCUGUCUCGAUUUAAGCUGCAUGAUUGCACCGCUCCAUCUGUUCAGUCAUGACAAUAUACAGGGAGGUUAUGUAUCUUCAGCUAAAAUUAACAUCCUAAGAAACACAAGCUUAAAAAAUGGAGAGCUCGUACAGUAAGAUGUAUGGCUCUUGUCAAAAUGCAAAUGUUACCUGGGAACUUCUAUUAGAAUGCUUCUAUUUUAGUGUUUAACGUGAAAUUCUUCGUCUUAGUGUUGUGUUGUCUGCAUUCUGUCAAUCUGCCUCAGUUACUGAGUUGUUCAUUUGCAUUUUUACAGGUGUUGUAAACGUAGAGAUUUAUUGUCUAGGUUUGGUUUCUUAUGUUGGUUGGUGCUGAUGGUGGUAUUGCUUUGGUUUUUUAUUUUUUAUUGAAGAAUUGCCAUAUAAUGGCAACUUCUAGUUGCUGUGAAGCAACCAAUGGCUACAGUUCUUAGAUCUGUGAUGAGCAUUAGUUAGUUCGGUAUGCCACAGCUGCCUAACAGGCCCCAUAGGUAAGUUAGCUGUGGUCAGUGCCCCUUGAAGUGUGGAACUGCUAGAUCCUGUCUGCAGCUGCUGAAAUUUGGGAUUUGAUGGGAACGUAUCACUAGCAAGGUAAGAGGCAUAACUGCUAAUUAGUGGUAGGAGACAGAGUGGAUGUUUUGUACUAGGGUAAACUGAUAACUGAGCAGUGUAAGAGGAUCGGGGAUAGCUUUAGCUGAUCCGUAGUCUUAGAGGGAAUAAAGUAAAAAAGCUGUAGAUUAAAUUGUAGAGUAUGCAGACUAACAGGCUAACUAAGCUGGUGCCCCAAGCUCGCUUUGCUUUCUCUUAGUUGGGUAAAGAUUCCACACCUGGCAUUAUGAUGAAGAAACCUAAUUCUCAGAAUUACACAAAAAUGUUCUACAAAUGUGACUAUUGGCUGUGAAUGAUCUGCUAGCAUCAAGCUCUCAGCGUUGGCAAUAAGUAAUUGAAUUGCAAUAUUCCUUCUACAGGAUGAAUACUCCAUAUUUCCUCAGACAUACUCCAUAGACAUCAAUGGCUACAUUCUUGUUUAUUCAGUCACGUCAAUAAAAAGGUAACAAAGUCUGCUGUGUUCUCCUGCUUCACAUGUUAGCCACAUGCAUAUCAGCUCAGCUCCUGCCUCUGCUUUAUUUUUCUUUACGUAUGUGUAAUUCCUUCAGUCCCUUUGCCUUAGAAAUGUAACUGAAAUACAAAAGAAUGGCUUUUCAGAAUUUUCCCCUCAGAUCCAAAUGUCACAGGCACUUUGCAGACCAAAGCAGGAGGUACUGUGUGAGAAAUGGGGCAGUGCUGAGCUCCAGUGAUUGAGUGUAAGUGAAAGCACAUAGACUGGUCCCAGGAACAAACAGGCUUUGUGCUGUAGCGUAAGAGGUGACGAUGGAGUUCAGCAUGAACCACAAGAGCACUGCACGUUUAUGUGGACAACCAAGCUAGGUGUUCAUCUGUCCCUCAGCCUAGCAGCUUCUUGCAGUACUGAGAUUCCUUUGGCUUCCCAUCCUGACUCGUUCUGGUUAACCAUCAAAAACUUUGACAUAAGCAACAAUAUGAGACUCCUGGCCUGUAGGCUCACGCUUGCUAUGCUGCAGCAGAUCUCUUCUUUGAGGUUUCCCAGAGUUUCUGUCUUGUCCUCACUGCUAACUGUAGUCAAUCCUCACUUGAGGACAGGCUCUGUCAUAGCUGGAGAAGCACUUGGAAGUGUCUUAACCUUCUUUAAGGUAUUGUCAUCUUCUGUUAUUUUAUCCUUUCCCUUUGGUCUACUUGAUGUAAGUAUAGGUCAACCUUGAAUCACUCUUAGUUUCCUAAUACUGUACAGCAUCUUCGGCCAAAAUAAUCCUCAGUUUUAUAUUUCCAUUUGUUGAAAGUGAUGUUAAGACCUGAAGCCUUUCACUUCAGAUAGAAGAAAAGCACUGCUUCCCUUGUACUUGUAAGCUGAUCAGCUUUUGAUGAGCACUGAAGCAUUCCAUGUCUUCUCCUCUAAAACAGGAUGAAGUCGUCUUGAGUGUCCUUUAGUAAGAUCUUCAUAAACUGCAGGUGAAACAGCUCUCUUGUUGGUUCUUCUGUGCUUCUCAGAAAAUGGAUGUGGUCUGGUCAUCAACUUCAGCUGCUUUUAAGUUCUUUAAUGUUGAGCACAUUUUCAGUUCUUCAUUCUUGGAGUUCUCCAUUCUUGAUUUUCAUCUGUAGUUUCGAAGUAGUGAACAGAAAGCACGUGUGUUUGGGGGAAAUGCAGCAGGUGUGAGGCUUUCCUGUGUAUCUUAAGAAACUACCUUUUUUUCCUUCUUUUUUUUCUCACUCCCUUAAUCAGAGAUCUGUUGUUGGUGCUGAGUGACCUGUAUAAAGUUGGAGUAGUAUUCCCAGUCCUAAGAAGAAAUCCACAUUGUUCAGUAUUUGAUUCUUGAUCAACUCAAUCCCAAUUCUUGCUUUUUUUCUUGGAAAUUUCAAAGUAUUGAUGAUCCUUUCUUGUUCAAUUUCUUAUUUAAGUUCAGUAUCAAGAUGGUGUUUAGGCAACAGAAAAGAUCUUCCACUGUACUCUGGUAGCUUAGAUGUCUCUCCCAGGCAAUCAGAUUAGUCACUGUCUGUCUCAGUUUCUGUCAAAGUGUGUGUAUUGAUGGGAGUAUUGAUGCAGCUGAGUGGGAGCUUUGACAUCAAACUAAAUAGAAAUGUCCUCUUGAAAUUAUUUUCUUCCCUGCUGAUCUCCACUGGGAAGUUUAUAAUGGGGCUCGAGUGAAAGCUGAUGCCCUGCAUUUGUUAUAUUCCCAGACUCUCAGCUGCAAGGUUACUGGAAGGCUUUUGCUCUAGUUCAGCUUAAUUAAAUUCCAAAUUUGUCUCGUGCUGUGUUCUGUGAUCCUCUAUAUCACAGCUAGUGAUCCUUCAGGUUGUAUUUCACUCUGUUUUCCUGUAACCCUGUUUGCUUAACAGAACUGGAAAGGACCUCUUAUGGUCUGCAGACCUAUCGCUGUUUCACAACUUGGUGUGGUGUUGGUUUUUCUGGGGGGUGGAGGGGGGCUUGUUGAUAAGGGUUUUAAUUUGUGCCUUUGCUCCUUGUAGCCAUGUGUUUGAGAAUGCUUUCCAAAUUAAUUAAAUUGAUCCGGUCAGUCGAGGUUCAUUCUGGGUAGUUCUUACCAACUUGUUUCUGUGCCAGAAUCAUGUUGGAAUUUAAAUAGCACUUCCCUUUCGGUUUUCACCUUGAUCUAUUAAUAAAGAUCAGCUGUUAAUCCUUGGUCUAUUUUGCUAAAAAUUGAGCUCUAGAUGAGCAGAAACUGAGAACUGAGCAGCACAAGGUGGAACCACAGGUGAGGGCAUGCACUGAGCUGUGCAGUGGCACAGUGUUUUUCUGGCUACACUGGCAGCAGCUUACCUACCUAGUAGUAGAAAGUGAUUACAUUGGUGACUCGGCCAUCCUGUGGCUAGUAUGCUACAUCUCUCCUCUUGCUUCAGGCUGAGAAACAGUUCUGUGGUCUGUAUCAGAAUUAUUUUGAAUGAUUUCUCCUUCAGUUUUCAGGGUCAUCUGAUUCUCUCUGUCACAGCUGAACACCGUUUAACUCUUACUUCUGAGAUACCCUGCUGAAAGUCCAAGACCAGUUCUCAAGCCCAAAAUUUUGCUUAUACCUUUUCAGCAUAAGCUCUUCAUAAUCCUUAAUUCCUUCCAUUGAUUCCACGUUUAUGUAGUCUGUAGUAUAGUGUUUGAGUCAGUAACAGCAAGGUGUGCUGGACUGAGUUACUUCUUUUUGUACACAAUUCAUUUCUGAACAGGAUAUCUCCUAGCUCACCAUGGAAGUGUUGAGUUCUGCUCAGUCUGUAAAACUGUUGCUGAAGUAAUGCAAACAGACCUGCUUGACACACAAUCCUGAACUGAGGUAGCGUUUACUGUUCAGAACUGAGAAGCUUUAAGGAGUCCCAACAGCCUGAGUAGUGCUUCUGGGCACCGGUUCUUUGAGAAUCCAGAGCUUGGAUGUACACUGGAGUGCUGCCCUAUUUGUAAGAGCUUCAAUUCUAAUUUAAGCACAGUGCAAAAUGAAGAUGCUGCCCCUUUCUUCUUGUGUAGCUGCGUGUCAGGUGUGUGAACCAAGCCUGCACCUUUCUUAAAGCUCAGGUGUGCACUUCAUGCACCAGCAUCUUUUUUCCACAGUGUAAUCAGAAGAGCACAACAUCUGCUCUUUCACUCUGUUGAUAGCCUGUUCUCAAGUGUUAAAUGUCAGACAUGGGACUUCGGGCCUCACAGUGUUGUGCAGUGCUGUUUCUUAUCUCCAGUCAUGCAAACAUCAUGUGGGCAGCAGGUGAGCUGUUAGGUGCCUCAACAACCACUGCUUUGCUGUUGUCUUGCCCAUCAGGUUCCUCACUAUCCAUAAGAUAUUGGAAUUCAGCCUUCUCUUGGUUUUCACAGAAUGCCAAAACAACAUUCAAAGACUUCUAUGAGAGUUAAGGUUUAUUUAAAGUUAUGUAUUCUUCUCGGUGGGUUGUGCUGAACUGAAUGCUGUUCCUUUGAAACUCUGCUUUAGUUUGACAUGCUCAUCCAGGCGUGUCGGACUGUAGUAGCCGAAUUUCUUACUGUGAAUGCAGACCAGAUUGGAGGGGGCAUGGGGGCUUUUAGCACUGUGUGUUAGAUGCACCUGUCCUGGGUAACGUUUAUUUCUGCAAGUAUCAGAACUGGGUGGGCUGUAACGAUGUGCAAAGUACAGUUUGCUGCUGCCUCUGGGACCAUUUUGUCUGUUGUACACAAACCAGUAACACUUCAGCAUCUUUGUAGUUCUGCCACUGUACGUAAUUUUUAACACAGCAAUCUACAUAUGCAUUUAAUUGCUUGCGUAUUGAUUGGGUAUUAAGGAUAAGCAUUGGAGUGCACGUGUGACUUCAUCCCUUUAUUUUGCAGUUUUGAAGUGAUAAAAGUUAUCCAUGGCAAGUUAUUGGAUAUGGUGGGAAAAGUCCAGUAAGUAGUGACACUUUCAUCUCAUUUCACUGCAGGCAUGUUGCUAGUACUUCGUUCAGUAUACUAUAACUAUUCUGAAGUUCUGAACUUUCUUUCACAGAAUACCCAUUAUGCUGGUUGGAAAUAAAAAAGACCUGCAUAUGGAACGGUAUGUGAACUCCACUAUGUGGGAAAUGCAAGGCAGCAGCCGGCAUUCCUGUGGCUGCCAUGGCCGGUUUUGUUCUUGGCUUUCCAUGACUAAAAUCCAAAUGUAGGUUACAACAAAGGUACCAGCAAGGGAUUGGGUCCAGAAUGUGUGCUAGCAGCUUCUGUUGUAAUGUUGAUUCUUGCUAAAAAGCUUCCAAAAAGAAAAAGAGAAGUAGAAUAUUUGUUUGAAGACAAGUAAGGAAGUGUCUUUUUUACCACUCUGAGACAGGAGAUGAUGCUGCAGCGUAGGGAAACAAGUCAGUGUUUGGGACAAUUGCUCCCUUCUGGGUCACAUAGGAGUUCUACGUGGCCCAGCAGUGAAUUUGACAGCAGCAUAUAGCAAUUGUUUGGGACAAGGCCUUUCAAAAUGUUAUAUAUGCCUUAAGUGCUUCAGAACUGUGGGGACAUUCCUGAAGCUUCAGUCCUUCUGUGAGUUACAAAGAAACAUGCUUUCCACUCUUUUGCAGGGUGAUCAGCUAUGAAGAAGGGAAAGCUUUAGCAGAAUCCUGGAAUGCAGCUUUCUUGGAAUCUUCUGCUAAAGAAAAUCAGGUAACAAAUUUAAGAUUCACUUAUUUGAAUAGCAGUGUUAUGGAAUGUCUCAUAGUUUCACUUGAUAAAGGAAGCUAAAUAUCUGCACGUCCUGUACAGAUAGAUUGUGUAGAUGGUUGGAAAUAAAAUGGGUGUCUGCGUUCAGAUAUACAUAUAUAUAUGCUUGUUGAUGCAACUGUAAGUUAAAGGGUGAAAUGGAGAACUGAAAGUUAAGCUUUGCUGAACAAAACAUAACGGUGGCAAACUCAAACUUGCAGCCCUGCUGUGUGUGGGACAGGGUCUGUG
rnacentral:lncRNA from 1 species